AACACAUGCAAGUCGAACGCGUGUAGCAAUACACGAGUGGCGCACGGGUGAGUAACGCGUGGAUAUCUGCCUUUUGGUUCGGAAUAACCCCGGGAAACUGGGGCUAAUACCGGAUGGUUCCUACGGGAUAAAGAUUUAUCGCCAAAAGAUGAGUCCGCGUACGAUUAGCUAGUUGGUGAGGUAAUGGCUCACCAAGGCGACGAUCGUUAGCUGGUCUGAGAGGACGAUCAGCCACACUGGGACUGAGACACGGCCCAGACUCCUACGGGAGGCAGCAGUGGGGAAUAUUGGACAAUGGGGGCAACCCUGAUCCAGCCAUGCCGCGUGAGUGAUGAAGGCCUUCGGGUUGUAAAGCUCUUUUGGCGGGGACGAUGAUGACGGUACCCGCAGAAUAAGCC
rnacentral:rRNA from 1 species